AUCUCUGCCUUACUCUUGAUUCCUGCCUCCAGUGAACCCAGGAUGAAGGAGUGUUUCGACUCAUCUGACUCAUUAUGCCUUCUUUGCCCUGGAUCUUACACAGAAAUGCUCUCCAUACCUUGCCACUGCUGCUGGGAAGGAACAGGGGAGGAGUGACAUUGAGAUUCAAGACUAUUUUUCCUACCUCUUCAGUGCCUCUUUCAGCCAUAUGAAGUUAAAACCAGGGGAGAAGAGGAGAGUAAAAGUGAAGAAGAAAGAGGCAAAACAAGUGACUAGACCACACGCUGAACAAGUUGUAGCUCUCAUUUACUUUUCAGAGAAUGUAAAAUGUUACAACUGCUUUGGAUAACAGUUUGGCAAUUUCUUUAAAAGUUAAGCAUAUAUAUAUAUAUAUAUAUAUAUAUAUAAUCAUAUAAUCUAGCCAUUUCACACAUCAGAAUUUACCCUCAUCCCCAAAUAAAAGCACAAAGAUGUGAAUGCCCA
rnacentral:lncRNA from 1 species